rnacentral:lncRNA from 1 species
CUUUCUUUCUGGGUUGGCUGUGAAUGUGAAAUUGUCUCCACAGAAUCUCAGUGGACACCGCUUUGGAGAGUUGGGUUUCCUCUGACCAUCUGGCGGCAGGGAAUGAGUACUGCGCGCCCCGUGGACAGGCAGUCCGAACGAAGGCUGAGGCUGAGGUUGGAUUUACGCUAGGAGGUGCUAGAAGCAGAAGUUGCACACGGCUGAGCUCAGGUGCCUCUGCCACAGUGAUGCAAAGUGAAAGAUGGAUAUUGUCACUGGCUAUGAAGGAGAAGCCUCAUCAGCAGCUGUUAGGAGAACAAGGUAUUUAAUUUUAGAUCGCUACUUUUACUCCCUGAAUAUCCUAGCCUGAGAGUUAUUUAGUUUGUUCAAAAGAUUCCAGGUGGGUAGAUCGGAAAGAGGUGGAGACAGAGAUAGAGACAUAGAGACAGACAGACAGACAGACAGAAAAGGAUAGAGGAGAGAGGAGAGAGAGACUUUCUCUCCAAAGAAAUCAGGGGGAUCAACCGAAAGUUUUUAAUUGGGUUGGGGAUGUAGCUCAAGAGUAGAGUACUUUCCUAUCAGUCACAAGGCCCUGUUUAAUUCCCAAUAAUAC